rnacentral:miRNA from 1 species
UAGACCAUCUUUCUAGAGUAU